rnacentral:misc_RNA from 1 species
UCCUGCAGCUAGGUAGACAAGAUAUUGAUAAGACAUAUUUCUUUUUUUUAUCUUUACCAUAAUCUAGUCAUAUUUAGCUUUACUGAAGGCAACAAUUGUAUUUUCUUUUAAAAUAUACAUGUACUAGUUAAUAGACUAACCUCUUGAGACUGUUUUAGGCAUUGCCAUUACACUUAACUAUUCACUACCCUUAUAUAUUAUGUAGUCUUUUAUAUAAUUUUAUUUAUUCAUCCAAUUGGAUACUAGAAGCAUUGCAGACACAAGCAUGAGAAAGUAUAUACCAUAUUCACAGUAAAGUAUUCAAUAUGUCCAAAAUUUUACCAAUUAUAUUUAAGAAUUCAUCCUCUGGUAUGUUGAACAUAGUAAAUGAUGAGAGGAGUCCAUUUUAUAGCUAAUGCACACAAUUAUCACUUUCACUGAGAGUUUGCAACUCGCUUGGCUAAAGCUGUGCUCAAUUUAUUUUAUUCUAAUAUACAUGUAUACAAUUUUAUUUCUAUCAAUUUUUUAUAUAUUGUAUUGCAUCGCUGUGUUGUGAAAUGUAAUAAAAAAUGUUGAAGUAUA